GCGAAUUUAAUCUGACCAAGAUUUUGGCCGAUUCGAAUUGCAUGCACAUUCUCAUGAUCAUGGUCAUAUGAGUUCUGAGUACUGCUGUUUUAUAGUUGUGCUGUUGUGCUGAUUGCUAGCUUAGUUUUGGUUACUGAGAGUUGAAGAGAGAGUUGCAGAAAAUUUGAUAGAUCUACUCUUACUGUUGGACAGUUACUGAGAGAGAAGCAAGGAGGCAGAGGUAAAUUCAGCUCUUACUGUUGGACAGUUAGUGAGAGGGAAGCAGGGAGGAAGAGGUGAAUAGAGCUCUUAUUGUUGAACAUUUACUGAGAGAGAAGCAAGGAGGCAGAGGUGAAUAGAGCUCUUACUCUUGGACAGUUAUUUAGAGAGAAGCAAGGAGGCAGAGGUAAAUAGAGUUGUUACUGUUGGACAGUUAUUGAGAGACGAGCAAGGAGGAAGAGGUGAAUAGAGCUCUUACUGUUGGACAGUUACUGACACAGAAGCAAGGAGGCAGAGGUGAAUAGAACUCUUACUGUUGGACAGUUAAUGAGAGAGAAGCAAGGAGGCAGAGGUAAAUAGAACUCUUAUUGUUGGACAGUUACUGACACGGAAGCAAGGAGGCAGAGGUGAAUAGAACUCUUACUGUUGGACAGUUAAUGAGAGAGAAGCAAGGAGGCAGAGGUAAAUAGAGUUGUUACUGUUGGACAGUUAUUGAGAGACAAGCAAGGAGGAAUAGGUGAAUAGAGCUGUUACUGUUGGACAGUUACUGAGACAGAAGCAAGGAGGCAGAGGUGAAUAGAGCUCUUACUGUUGGACAGUUACUGACACAGAAGCAAGGAGGCAGAGGUGAACAGAACUCUUACUGUUGGACAGUUAAUGAGAGAGAAGCAAGGAGGCAGAGGUAAAUAGAACUCUUAUUGUUGGACAGUUACUGACACAGAAGCAAGGAGGCAGAGGUGAAUAGAACUCUUACUGUUGGACAGUUAAUGAGAGAGAAGCAAGGAGGCAGAGGUAAAUAGAGUUGUUACUGUUGGACAGUUAUUGAGAGACAAGCAAGGAGGAAGAGGUGAAUAGAGCUGUUACUGUUGGACAGUUACUGAGACAGAAGCAAGGAGGCAGAGGUGAAUAGAGCUCUUACUGUUGGACAGUUGAUGAGAGAGAAGCAAGGAGGCAGAGGUAAAUAGAGUUGUUACUGUUGGACAGUUAUUGAGAGACAAGCAAGGAGGAAGAGGUGAAUAGAGCUGUUACUGUUGGACAGUUACUGAGACAGAAGCAAG